GCGGCCUCACCUCCCAACCAAACCGCGCUCCUCCCCCUUUCCGCAGCCUUCCCCGUCGCGCCCUAGAUCAGGCGACCAGAGCGAGCGGCGGCGGCGGCGGCGGCGGCCAUGGCGGACGACGACUACAACGACGACAUGGACAUGGGGCUUGGCGCGGCACCACUGGCGGCGGGCUCGCAGGUGCUCGGCGGCGUGAUCUGCCUCGCAGAGCCACGCAAUGGUCGUGGGGCUCCACAAAGCUGCUGUGCGAUCCAGUGACCCUGAACGACGGCCAAAGAGUCAAAAAUGUUCAACAGUCAAAAAUGUAUUAAGUAAAGCCUCAAACUCAGAAUAAUGCAAAGAGACUGCCUCAAACUCAAAUGUAUUAAGUAAAGCCUCAAAGGGGGAAUUUAUUGUUGUAAAAUUCCAUUAGAAUAAUGCAAAGAGACUGCUUCAAACUCAGAUCCUCCUAACCACAAAUGGAGACCGUUUCUACCAAUGCACCAAGUCCACCUUACAAGCUUCA